rnacentral:rRNA from 1 species
UCUGGUUGAUCCUGCCAGUAGUGAUAUGCUUGUUUCAAAGAUUAAGCCAUGCAUGUCUAAGUACAAAACAAUUAUGUUUGAGACCGCGAAAGGCUCAUUAUAUCAGUUAUGGUUUGUUAGAUUGUACUUGUACAGUCAAAUGUUUUACUUGGAUAACCGUAGUAAUUCUAGAGCUAAUACAUGCAAAUUGAAUUCCGGCCAGAGAUGGAAGGAAUGCUUUUAUUAGAUCAAAAUCAAUCGAUGAAAUUAUAUAUAAGUUUUUGUAUACAAAAUAUUAUUUAUUUAGUAUUUGUUUGAAAAUUUAUAUAUUCAUCGUUUUAUAAUUUUGGUGACUUCAGAAUAACUACGCUGAUCGUAUGGUCUUUAGUACCGACGAUAUAUCUUUCAAAUGUCUGCCUUAUCAACUGUCGAUGGUAGGUUAUAUGCCUACCAUGGUAGUAACGGGUAACGGGGAAUCAGGGUUCGAUUCCGGAGAGGGAGCCUGAGAAACGGCUACCACAUCUAAGGAAGGCAGCAGGCGCGCAAAUUACCCACUCCCGGCAUGGGGAGGUAGUGACGAUAAAUAACGAUACGGGACUCAUCCGAGGCCCCGUAAUCGGAAUGAGUACACUUUAAAUCCUUUAACGAGGAUCUAUUGGAGGGCAAGUCUGGUGCCAGCAGCCGCGGUAAUUCCAGCUCCAAUAGCAUAUAUUAAAGUUGUUGCGGUUAAAAAGCUCGUAGUUGAAUUUGUGUCUCGCACAUGUCAAUACAUCGCUUGUCGGUGUUUUAAAAUUGACAUGAUGUGGACGUCUUGUUAGAGAUUGAUUAUAUGGUAUGAAUUGUACAUAUAUGAGAUCAAAAUUAUUUAUAAUAUGUUUUAUAUAUAUUUAUAUUAUUAUAAUAUCUAUAUGUGUAUGAUAUAUAUGUAUAUUUAAAGCAUACCUAACCAUCGCGCGUAUACAUAUAAUUUUAUGUUAUAAAUAUUAUUGUUCCAGUAUCAAAAAURAAAAAUGAUUUNUGUCNCUUYUGAUGCAWGWGAUUAAAUMUGUGNGUGNAUAUUCAAAAAGGGAUAAAUGAAUGUAGAAAAAAUAAAUAAUGUUUNGAAUAUAUAUGAAUUUUGAAUGAUAUAUAAUUGAAAGACAGCCAUGCAAUUGAUCGAACCCACUCAUGAUUGCUNNUAAUUGAGUGUCGUGGAUGGGCUAACAUUUUUACUUUGAACAAAUUAGAGNNCUUAAAGCAGGUUUAAAUUUAUUAAUUGCCUGUAUAUUGUCGUGCAUAGAAUAAUGGAAUAAGACCUCGGUUCUAUUUUGUUGGUUUUUGGAAGUUUUUCCGAGGUAAUGAUUAAUACGGACAGAUGGGGGCAUUCGUAUUGCGACGUUAGAGGUGAAAUUCUUGGAUCGUCGCAAGACGAACAUAAGCGAAAGCAUUUGCCAAAAAUGUUUUGAUUAAUCAAGAACGAAAGUUAGAGGUUCGAAGGCGAUCAGAUACCGCCCUAGUUCUAACCAUAAACGAUGCCAGCCAGCUAUCCGUCAAUGUUCCUCCGAUGACAUGACGGGAAGCUUCCGGGAAACCAAAGCUAUUGGGUUCCGGGGGAAGUAUGGUUGCAAAGCUGAAACUUAAAGGAAUUGACGGAAGGGCACCACCAGGAGUGGAGCCUGCGGCUUAAUUUGACUCAACACGGGAAACCUCACCAGGCCCAGACACCGGAAGGAUUGACAGAUUGAUAGCUCUUUCUUGAUUCGGUGGGUGGUGGUGCAUGGCCGUUCUUAGUUGGUGGAGUGAUUUGUCUGGUUAAUUCCGAUAACGAACGAGACUCUAGCCUACUAAAUAGACGUAUAUUAUUUUUACUAGCAUCUCAAGGCUCAUCAGCUAUUUUGAUUAUUGACUAAAUUGUAUUGUGUGUGUUAUAUCAAUAAUUUUAUUAAUGUUUGUUAUUACCCAAAAAUUUUAUCAUAUAUAAUUCAAAAAAUUCCUAGUCAUAUGCGAAUCAAAAAUUAUAUAUGUCAAUCAUCUUAAAUUCAUCAUAUUAUGAAUAACUGAUUUAUUUUGCGUGUGAUGAUAUUGUUUGAUUGAUUUGUAUAUAAAUAAUAAAUGUUUCAAAAUGUGUCUUAGAAUUUUAUGUAUGAUUAUAAAAUAAAUGGUAUGAUGGAUGAUUGAUAUAUUGAUUUGUGAGAUGCCUAUACAAAUAAACAAAUUAUAUAUAACAUAUAGUCUUUUGAUGUGGUUUUUACUGCUAGCGUAAUAAAAAAGCUUCUUAGAGGGACAGGCGGCAUAUAGCCGCAUGAGAUUGAGCAAUAACAGGUCUAUGAUGCCCUUAGAUUUUUUGGGCCGCACGAGCGCUACACUGAAGAAAUCAACGUGUAUUCACCCCUUACCGAGAGGUAUGGGUAAUCCGUUGAACCUUCUUCGUGCUAGGGAUUGGGGCUUGUAAUUAUUCCCCAUGAACGAGGAAUUCCCAGUAAGCGCGAGUCAUUGAGCUUGAGUUGAUUACGUCCCUGCCCUUUGUACACACCGCCCGUCGCUACUACCGAUUGAAUGAUUUAGUGAGGUUUUCGGACUAGUGUCGACCGAUUUAUAAAAAUGUUAUGAAAAUAAUAUUUGAAUCGGGGAUUGAUGCUGGAAAGUUGACCAAACUUGAUCAUUUAGAGGAAGUAAAAGUCGUAACAAGGUUUCCGUAGGUGA